GAUAAAAUAAAACCAAGAUUGUUCCAAUAUUCUAAUAUGGGAAUAAUCUUGAUUUUCUUUUACCAAGAAUUUUUUGUAAUUUAAGAUAUUUAACAUACAAAGCAUCAAUACACAUGAAAAUUUGUGUCUUCGUUGAAGAAUCAAUGCAAAGAAUUGUUGAGGUAUUGCUGUUUUCUUGGCCAAAUUUUCUCGUAAUGGCAUUAGAGUUAUGAAGACUUCUUGAAGAACUGCCUCCUCACAGCCACAGCGACAUUCAUCACAUCCUAGUUUAUGUUAUUAGGGAAAUGUGGGCCAAGAAAGCAGCAAUUCUUCAACAAUACCUCAGAAUUUCAUGCAUCAGUUCAACACUUUGAUGUUGUCUCAAGGGAGUGUAGAUCAUCUCAUCAACACCACAAAUCAUAUCAACCUUGCUUUUCUUCCUCUGCAGCAACAAUAGGAGCACAGAGUUCAGCGUGGUCACAACCACAAUCGUCACAUCCUAGCUUUGAAGUCCCAAUUGGACCAAUAUUCAGCUACCAGCAUGGAGAAUGAAGAGUUCGUACCCAUGAGCUUUGAAGGCUUGUCAUACUCCACCACUUUCCCUGCAGUAAGCAGAAUAAACAUAAGGAAAAAGGGAUGACAAAAGAAGUAGCACAGUUGUAUCUAGGAAAAGAAAAUUUGAAACAAGAAGCCAAGUAGCAUAUCAUAAUUUGUAACCCCCUCCCCCAAGUAACUAUUAUAAAUGGAAUAAUCUCAUUUGGUGUCAUUUUUCUUUUGAACCUUUUUAUCCUCAAUUAUUGUAAAUCACCACAAACUAAAACAUUUUGCAUCAUUCAAUACAAGUUACACUCAA